rnacentral:rRNA from 1 species
GCGCCGAAGGAUGAGCCCAUGUCCGAUUAGCUAGUUGGUGGGGUAAUGGCCUACCAAGGCGACGAUCGGUAGCUGGUCUGAGAGGACGAUCAGCCACACUGGGACUGAGACACGGCCCAG